GUGUAUGUAUGUAUGUCUUGUCUUUGUAUGUAUCUGUUGUGUGUAUCUUGUCUUUGUAUGUAUAUGUGUCUUGUGUCUGUAUGUGUGUGUGUCUUGUGUCUGUAUGUGUGUGUCUUUGUAUGUAUGUCUUGUGUGUGUGUGUGUGUGUCUGUGUGUGUGUAUGUAUGUGUGUCUUGUCUUUGUAUGUAUGUGUUGUGUGUGUCUUGUCUUUGUAUGUAUGUGUGUCUUAUG